rnacentral:rRNA from 1 species
UGGGGAAUAUUGGACAAUGGGGGGAACCCUGAUCCAGCCAUGCCGCGUGUGUGAAGAAGGCCUUAUGGUUGUAAAGCACUUUAAGCGAGGAGGAGGGUACUGGUAUUAAUACUACCAGGUACUGGACGUUACUCGCAGAAUAAGCACCGGCUAACUCUGUGCCAGCAGCCGCGGUAAUACAGAGGGUGCGAGCGUUAAUCGGAUUUACUGGGCGUAAAGCGUGCGUAGGCGGCUAAUUGAGUCGGAUGUGAAAUCCCCGAGCUUAACUUGUGAAGUGCAUUCGAUACUGGUGAGCUAGAGGGUGGGAGAGGAUGGUAGAAUUCCAGGUGUAGCGGUGAAAUGCGUAGAGAUCUGGAGGAAUACCGAUGGCGAAGGCAGCCAUCUGGCCUAACACUGACGCUGAGGUACGAAAGCAUGGGGAGCAAACAGG